rnacentral:misc_RNA from 1 species
GGGUCUUCCUGUACCUGAUUCACUCACUCAGCCUCUAUGUCCUCUCACCAAUGAGAGAGACAAGGAUCGAACAAUGGAGUUAGUUCAACAGGUUGGAGAAAAAUCUUCAGUACUUGACUUGGAGGAUAAUAAAUUUCCCCAGCCAUUUGAUACACCAAAGAGCAAGGCUGACUCAACCUUAAGGCUGGGUCGGAUAUCAAAGCAUAGAAUGAGCAGUCAUCUGGAUCUUUCUGUUAAUUCUCUUGGUCAC